CUUAAUGAGUUUCCUGCUUUCUCAUUGCACGAGCAAGUGGAAAGUAACUACAGAUCAGGUGGGUUUGCUUCUUCUUGAAUCCCUACUUCUUCUUGGUUACUUCGCUCUGUUCCACCCUGGAAAUCAAGCAGUCCUUCGAUGGGGUAAGAGCCCAACAAUCCUUCACAAGGUCUGUGAUCUUCCAUUUGUAUUCUUUAUUGACCCCGACUUGAUGCCCAUCUUGGCUGGUACACUGGUGGCUGCUUGCUAUGGUAGUGAGCAGAACAAGGGUGUAGUUCAGCAGGAACUCAGUACAGAUAUGUUGCUAUCUUUGCUCAGAUCGUGCAAAAGUGGAUCACCUGCCACUCAAUCUGAUUCAUUACCACCAAACUAUUCAUUGAUGGAUGGUUCAUAUGAUGGGAAUCAGUGUGGCCCAGAACCCAGAAAGCUUCAAGCUGACUUCCUUGUGAAG